AACGAACGCUGGCGGCAUGCCUAACACAUGCAAGUCGAACGAGACCUUCGGGUCUAGUGGCGCACGGGUGCGUAACGCGUGGGAAUCUGCCCUUGGGUUCGGAAUAACCAGGAGAAAUCCUGGCUAAUACCGGAUGAUGUCUUCGGACCAAAGAUUUAUCGCCCAGGGAUGAGCCCGCGUCGGAUUAGUUAGUUGGUGAGGUAGAGGCUCACCAAGGCGACGAUCCGUAGCUGGUCUGAGAGGAGUAUCAGCCACACUGGGACUGAGACACGGCCCAUACUCCUACGGGAGGCAGCAGUGGGGAAUAUUGGACAAUGGGCGAAAGCCUGAUCCAGCAAUGCCGCGUGAGUGAUGAAAGCCUUAGGGUUGUAAAGCUCUUUUACCCGGGAUGAUAAUGACAGUACCGGGAGAAUAAGCCCCGGCUAACUCCGUGCCAGCCGCCGCCGUAACAC
rnacentral:rRNA from 1 species